ACGAUAGGUCAGGCCUCCUGAAGUUAACAGUAGCUGUUAGAGCUACAAUGUGACAGCCGUUAGUGAGAAUACAAGAGAAUCUGACACACUGUCUGAACAUGACUCUGAUGAUGACUUAACCACAACCAAGACCACAGAAGAUGAAAGCAGUAUAAGCCAGACAGAAAGGUUUCGCUGUAAUCGAGUGGAAACAGCAGGACCUGAAAAGUGAAGAGUGUACAAUCUGUGCUUGAAAAGAGUUCAGGAGAUGGGAAGAAAAGGAAAAAUACCAUAUUGGUCUUUUACUACCGACAAAAGGCAAAGAAGAAACAAAAUCAAGAAAAGGAAAAAGAAGAGGUCCCAGGAGAACCUCAUACUUCAAAUAAUACUGUGUCUCCUCCUGAGUCAUCCCCAAACCCAGAAUCCUUUUCACCUCUUCCUCCAAAAUGUGUGCAGAGGGUUUUUUGUUUGUUUGGUUGUUUUGUUUUGUUUUGUUUUUGUUUUCUGUUUUUUUGUGGAGACCAAAUAUUAUACCCUUAUAUAACAAUGUUUGGACAUUGUUGACUAAAAUAUAAUAAAAUAACUUGUGAAAACUA